rnacentral:rRNA from 1 species
UACGUAGGGUGCAGGCGUUAAUCGGAAUUACUGGGCGUAAAGGGCUCGUAGGCGGCCAACUAAGUCAGACGUGAAAUCCCUCGGCUUAACCGGGGAACUGCGUCUGAUACUGGAUGGCUUGAGUUUGGGAGAGGGAUGCGGAAUUCCAGGUGUAGCGGUGAAAUGCGUAGAUAUCUGGAGGAACACCGGUGGCGAAGGCGGCAUCCUGGACCAACACUGACGCUGAGGAGCGAAAGCCAGGGGAGCAAACGGG